GAAUGCACCAUUCCUAGUCACCUUGAUAACAGCCCCAUUUUCUGUUAAUAAUACUCUAUGAGAAAAAUCUUGCAAAAAUAGUCAGAAAAGGCAGAGUCACAUGCGGUUCAGUGUGUUCCACCUUGGCAGACGGUCUUAGGAGGAGUUUUGGAAGGAUCGUGCUGCAGGCAAUGGAUGAGAUAAUGAUGAGAAAGUUUCCAGCUCUGUAUAAAAAGGCAAGCGAAAUAUAUGCUUGUGAAUUUUUGGCUGCUUUUUUAUGCUGUAUUUUCAGAUCAAUUUUAUCCCAGUUAAUGUGAAUAUAAACUCUGAUUGUUAUGGCUAUCUCUCGUGGGGUGUCUAUUAUUUUGUCAGAAAUUGUAUCAGGAACUUUAUAUCAAUCACUAAAUUACACAUUUCCAAGCUGCAUAUGAAUUAGGUAUUACUAUGAUCAUUUUACAGAUGAAGAAGAUGAGACUCAGAGCAAUACAUAAGUUGCCCAAGGUCAGAGAGCAAGCCUCUGGCUGAUGGAUCCAAGAGGUAGAUGCGUGAUGUCAAAAUAUUCUCUUUUAUAGUGACCAUAUCAGAGCACAGUGUACUCCUCUUGCCGUAUUCAGAGGAUUUGCCUAUGGGCAGCAACAUUAUUCUCUCGUUCUCUGGAUAUUAGGAACAAUAUCACAGGACCGGCGGACAGCCCCAGUCAUAUCUGAAAAUAUCACAGCACGGUGUACUCGUCUUGCCGUAUUCAGAGGAUUUGCCUAUGGGCAGAAACAUUCCCCUCUCCUUCUCUGGAUAUUAGAAACAUUAUCACAGGACCGGCAAACAGCCGCAGUCAUAUCGUGAGUAAUGUCAUCUGUAAUCCCCUAGUUAUAAAAAACAACAUCAAGGGGGUCUUGUGCACUUUAUGAGAUACUUAGAGUAAUGUUAGGAUUUGGGUAAUUUACAUGAGGGAGAAUAUUGAGUUGGUGUAUACACUCCAAAACACAGUAGAAAAGGGCAUUGUAUAUUUUUUCUGACGGAUUAUAUUGAGAGCAAUUUUGCUUUUAACAUUGGGGUACCUAGAUAAUAUUUAGAUUUUUUUCGAUUAGCGUAAAUUAAGAAUUUCAGUAUUUUACA